UGAUGGAACUUCGAAUUUCAUCCUAUUCCGGCUAUAACGAUAGGACUUGCUCUUUAACUCUCCUUCCUUUUUUUUUUUUUUUUUUUUUUUUUGUUUUUUUUUUGUUUUUUUUUUGUUAUGGUUUUUGAAGUUAACUCUUCAUUCUAUGUAUUUUCAGUGCAUGCAUAUUCAGUUUUAGGUUUGCUGCAAGGGAACCCUAUGUGAGAAGGGGUGAAGGUGGAUCUUGUCACCUGGACAUGGAUGGAGUACAGAGUUUUGCAAAGUAUUUCUGUCUGGAAACAGCACUACUCCCAUCAUCCCAGUUAGAAUCAUGGCUGUUGGAGGCUCUGUCCUGAUUUCUGAGCAGGAAAAUGCAACAGUGGGUCAUUGUUUACAUUCACAUUUGAGGUAAAAUCCACUAGAGAUGAUCACUGAAAAAAGAAAUUCACAGAAGAUGAAUUGAGAAAAUGAGGUGCCUGUGGUGAAAUUCUGGGUAAAAGCACAAAAUUAACUGUCAUCCAAGCCAAAGAAGGUGAAAAAUGCAAUUCAUACUCCACCUCUCUGUAUGAACCCAAUCCAGAGGGAACAUUUUGGGACCAUUUCCUGUUUUUUGGGCAGAAUAGAAGCCAUGGUUAAAUGAAGAGAGAAAUGUGGCCACCCUUCCUGACCCAAGAAGAAGAAACAGCUCCAGCUCUUUCCCUGACAAUGCCUCAGGCCCCAUUCUCUGCUGCUUGCUGCUUUUCUGCAGACUCACAGCAUCACCUGGAACCUGCUGAGAGUGCCACCGAAUGAAGGAGCAGCGAGAACGCACUGCUUUUUAGGUAAACCUGAUGGACUUGCAAACUUUCCUGAACCUACUCAACCUAUAACCAAUGUGACGCAGCACUGUGGAGCCUUGUUUCUGUCUCUGUGGGGGAAAAUCUGAGGCUGGAAAAUCUCAAAUAUAUAUGGGGAGAAGGAGCAGUGUAACUGCACCAGCCCUACCCAUGGGUUUGGCUGAGAACAAGGCAGGAUGAGGCGCUGGAUGCCUUCAGGUUGAUGGAUUUCUGCAAAACUGCAUUAAUUUUGAUAAGGAAUACAUUUCUGCAGUUAUUGUAAAAGAAGAUUGUCUCCAUGACCCAGAGUUCAACUCAAAAUUUGUUCAAGAAAAUUUCAGUGGCUGCUGCACACAGUGCUUGAGUUAACAUCAUUAGAGUCCAGGAGUUGGUCUUUACACCAUUUGUUAGUCUUACCUGUAGCAGAGCCCUGCUUGCUGCUACUGAGCCAGAAGAUUCCUCCUGUUCUUCUUCCCUCUGCUCUCUCAUCUCUGCCUGCCAAGCUCUUCAUUGAAGUGGAGACUUCAGCAGCCGUGCAUGAGAGAGGCUGGGCAGUAAAAUCCAGCCCUCUCCCUUCCCAGCCGUGCUUGGAGCCUUGACCCUGAGCGAGGAAGGAUCCCUGUGCCAGCUGUCACCUCUGCACUCUGGCUGUGCCAAGCACCCGCCAUGCUCACUCAGUCUUUGUGCCAGGGAGAAGGGGAGAUGCUGGAGCAGCAUACCCAAGUGCACUUCCAGCUUCCUUGUCCAGCUCCUCAGCUGAGGGUCUGCUUAGCCCCAGCUGGGUCCUGCAGCAGAGCAGGGCCAUUUCCAUGGCUUUUCGCAGCGGUGGCGUUAGGUCAUGUAGCCACGCUGCCAGGUGGCCCCUCCCAGAGAAACAGGACGGGCUUCCAGACCCGUCAGGAGCCGUUCAGAGGGCAAUGGAUGAACAGGGACAGUGGUCUGGCACUGUCACCUGGGGGACCUUCCCCUUAGGGCUGCUGCGGAGGCAUGGCACAGCACGGCAUCUGCACAUCCCAGCUCCUCCAAAAUGGGGAGGCCCCAGAUGCCUGCAGCUCUGGGUUCUGCAGGCACAGCAGGCGGUGUUGGCCGUUCCUGCUGCAUGCCUGGCUCCAUCACCCCUCUGCCUCCCAGCCAGAAAAACCAGGAAACACAGGAGAGAAGGCUACUGAAGAUAUAGAUAAGAACUGUAGGCUAGCAGACCUGCUUCAGUUGUCAUUAAAAGUCAAUAAAGUAAUCCUUUCAUAAGCAUUGGAGUCUACCCAUCAUGAAGAUUGUUUGAAGAUUCCAUCCCUGCCACACGGGCAAGAGUCAGUGGAUAGUUUGUCCUGAGAUCAAGCCCCACCCUUUCUGUUCAGAAAUUCCCCUUACUGUUUAAUUAAAGUGCCUGAAUGUCUCCCAAAAGUCACCACAUAAGUAUCUAAUAGUCUGGAUUACGAAUAUUAGGAUAGUAUGAGGUAAUUCCAUUAGAUGAUAAUCUAAUAACCAUAAACUGAAAAAAAUGUUUAUACAUUUCACUUGAUAUAUAUGCAAAAAAGAAAAUUUGCUGUUGGGUGUGGUAUAAUGUUUAUGAUUAAGUGCUUUAUUCAUACUUGUAUGUCAAUCUAUUAGUGUGCUGUUAAUUCAAAUGUUACUAUGAUGUAUUCUAUCGCCGUUAGCACAUUUAUCACAGGUAGAUGUGAAACUUAGACAAAGGUGUACAUUCUCAUUAAUGAUGAGCAGCCUAUUCAUCUUACUAGAGUGUAAUUAAUGUUAGUUACAAUACUUAAUUUUUCACUGUUUGUCAUGGUGCAUAUUUAGCAUUUCUUCUGUCCUUUAUCAAUCUGCUCUCCUAUCACAUGAGCACAUCAAAAAGAUAUAUGUAAGUAUCUGACCUGUUUUGAUGCCUAAUUUUUAUACUUUUACAAGAACUGGAAUGUUUUUAAUCUUAUCCUGUAGGCAGCACAGUUAGCUAAAAAAACAGACUGGAAAGUGUUGUCCAUUGCUUUGAGGUUUGGGUUAAUUUCAUUUGCAAUAAUAACAUAAAAAUCAGAUAGUGAAGUAAAGCAGGGCACGCCAUGAAGACACAGGUACUAUUUGCUGUAGUGUUGUGCUGUGCUUGUGCGGGGUUGUAGUGGUGCCAGUUGUUCUCCUGGAUUUUCAAUUACAUGGUUUUUGUACUCUAAGGCUGUUAGUGCUGGUUAAAUAUGUUGUGGGAGCAAUGCAGCUCCAAAACCAAUAGAAGCAUGGAAUAUCUGAAAAGUGCACGUUAUUCUGUAAAUAAGUGCUACAAGGGCUUGUUGUUAUACUUUAGGAGCAUUGCUUUGUCAAUAAUGUUGUUAGCAGUGCAGUGCCAAACCACAGUCCCGUGUGCAGUGGUGCAAGAGGGGAAGAAGUUAUGGCUAAUGUGUCACACAGUGGGUGGGAAACAAGUCCUGCAGAGGUGGGUAAAAGGGACUGAGCACUAUGAACACAUUCUUGGAUUUGCUCCCCAGCACGCCAGUAAAUCCAGCUGAGCUGGAAUCCUAGGAUAAGUCCAUACUUUUGUAUUGGUCCCAGAAAAAAUACAAUCACCUUAGCUCAAACCUGGGCACAAAGCAUUUUUAUUUCAUUUUCAUCCAUAAUUCCCAGUAAUCUGGAUUGAAAGAGAACUGAUCCUUCCAUUAAUUGUUGUUGAAUGAAAUUUCUUGGGACAAAUAUUUGAGUAGGGUCAACCAAAUGCACAAGGUGCAGAAUGGAUUUGGGAUGUGUUUUCUCAAAAUUUCAAGGAACUUUCUCUGAGAGAAAGCACACCAAUUCCUAUUUGUUAGUCUCUUAAUUGGUGCAUAUUAUACUUCUAAUCUAUUAGGAAUUAGCUGGUUUUUUUCUGUGAAAUGACCUUUUUUGUAAACCACUGUUCAUGCCAGGCAUGAAGCUGAUCACAUCUCCAACAUAAUGACAUCCAUCUUGAUGUCAUUCAUUUGAUUUCAUUGAAACGAUCAAGAGCUUGCAGAAAAACAUACAUCUAUUACAAAAUCCUUAAAAUAAUGCAUUUGUAUGCCUUGGAUUAAUUUCCUUUUGACACACCACAAUUGAAGUAUAAGGGAAUCAAACAGAGGAAUUUAACAUAUUUCAGUAUGAAAAUUAAAUUUGGACACAAUUACACAUGGGUUAAAUUGUAGUUUAGUAGAAAAUUAAGAAUAAAUACCCCUAGCUAAGUUUAGGCAUUUUCAACAAAAUGAUAGUUGAAGGUGCUCCAUAGUGAUUGAAGUAUAAUAAUAACCUGUAAUGUGAACAGAAUUGAGUAGAGCUUUUUCCCAUGCUUCCAAAGUAAUACUUUAUAACAGUGACUUAUAUUUCUAAGACUGCACCAAAAUCUUCUUACUACCCCUUCCUUUGAAUUUUCUAUGGAAAAAAGACCAAAAAGUUCUCCAUCUAAUAACAAAAUUCCUAAAAUAAUAGACUCUGACAUUCUCUUUCUACCCACUUAUCCCUCAGCCCUGACUAAUUUGAAUACAGGGAAUUGCUAAAACAUCUCUUUUUAACAGAUAAAGAUUAAAUGCAAAGAAACUAUAAAGUUGCCUUUAACCUUCAUGAAAUCACAAAGCUAGGUAUAACAACAAGCUGUAAAACACACCAGAAAGAUGAGCAUUUCAGUCCAUUUUGAUUUGUCCAUUUUGCUUUCAAAAGGAAUUUAUAAAAACACCCAGGAACAAUGAACAUUUGAACUCAAAAUGGUCCAGGUUUAUUUUUACUCCAAAAGAAGUCUCAAUAGAGAUAUUGAUUUUCUAGCAUUCAUCCAAUAUUUCACAGAAAAUGGACCUGACCUUGCAAUCCCUAGUGGAGACAUGGAAGCAGUCAUUACAGUCAUGGUUCCCAUUGAUUUUACUGGGAUUACUUGCAUAAGUAAGGGUUUUCAGAAUGUGACCCGGUGUCCCAUUAGCAGUAAGACCAAGUGUAUGUGGAUGUCAGUCCCACUCUGUUCAGCAGGGUGCAGUUUACAUUCCUGUCCUAUAUUCAUCCUAUGGUUUUAUUCCUGCCUAUUUAUUCUACAUAUUUUUUGUUUUCUGUCGCAGAGAGCCUCAUCACUAUGAGUUACCUCUGGUGAGAAGUACCAGUCCUCCUGCCUGCCUUAGCAGGUUUUUUUCACUGUAUCUUCAACUGUCAGAGUUGAAGAUCAACUUACAGAUCCUUCUUCCUUUGGUUCUGUUGUCUGUGAUGAUUUUAAAAAUACUUUGGGCUAGGCACUACCUCUCACUGUACUUUUUUAAUCUCUAGGACCAAAUGCAAAGGAAACAUUACUGUACUUUGCACAGUAAACACAGAGUAGUGGAAAACUAAAAAACUCAGCGAGUGAUUUUUUUCUUAACCCUUGGAAGGUUUCUUGUGCCCCAUGGCUCCUACAGGAAAGCUACUCUAGAAACUCACUACUCAGAUGGAUAGAAUCCUCUUAAUUUUGACUUUGACUCUACCACAAACAUUUUAUUCAGGUUUAUUCUUGUGAUAAGCUUGUCUUUUAUCUCAAAAGGUUCUUUUCUAAUACUCACAUUGGUAUUUCCUCACUAAUGUAACUAUGAUACAUCUUUUUGUUUCAUUAAUUGUGAACAAGGUGCAGGAGAGGUGUGCAAGAAACAGGAUGACUACAUGUUUGUACAGUGCCUUGCACAAUUGCCCAGUCAUGGUUCAGGGCUCCAUAGGCUGACUUUGUUUCAGCAGUGAAUACUAAUGACCCUCCAGAACACACUGCAUGCUUUAUUCCAGAUGGACACCAUUAAUUCCUUCAAUUUUCAUUGAGAUGCAGAGCUUUAGAACAAGAAUACUAGAAAUUGAUUAUUUUUAUCAGUGGUAUUUUCAAAGAAAUGAAGAAAUGAGAUGUACAGUAUAUUUCAGUUUGCAAUGAUCAUUCUGUUGCUCCAUUUGCAAUGGAAAUGAGCAUAUAACAUAUUCAUGUGUACAGAUAAGGAAAAUGACAAACAUUAACAUCUCUUGCUCUAUUCAUUUAUAAUAUUCAGUUUUAAAAAAAAAUCCUUCCAUUCCAUAGUUUUUAGUUUUGUUCCUGAAGCACAAUGCAAAACAAAAAAAAAAGAGAGAAAAUUAAUGGAUAAAAUAAAUUUAAUUACUUUCUAAGCAAGUUUCCCAAAAAUUAAUUUAAUCUAAACCACAAAUUCUUUGCAAAUCUAUCUAUUAAAAAUAUAUAAUUACAUGCCUAUUUUUUUUAUUUUUAUAUGUCUCUAAAAUAUGCAGUCACUUAUGAAAUCAAAUAAACCAGGAGUGUGUGUGUACACACUUGUAUUUUGUGGCCAAGCCUUUGAUGUGUAACUCAGCCUGUUUAAGCAGACUGCAGGGUUGCCUUCUCAGUGUCAGUCCAUUUCUGCACAAUUUAAUCUGCCACUAAAGAGAAGUUUUUUGUUCUUAUGGGUAUAAAACAGUAUGCCAAGGAUAAAUCCGUGCAGCUUGCCUUCCUUAAAAUUUUAGGCACAACCUGAAAGUGCAGCUCUUUCCUUUUCUAAUCUCAAUGGGAUGCUAACAUAACAAUCACAAUUUUAGGACAGGGAAAUUGUUUUGAGCAGCAAUAAAUUGUCCUGCCAGUACUGUUUCAUGGAGUAACAUUAAGGCGCAUUGGGCCUGGGGUUCAUAGCUUAUGAUAUCUGGUUUUGGAGGACUGGGGUGAAGGUAAGAGCAUGUAGAGAAAGAAGAAGAAGAAUUAAAUAUGAGUUCUAGAUAGUUCAACAGAGUUGAAGCAGUUCAGCAAUAGACAUGCCAGAAUCCUGCAAAGAGCUUAUUCUCUAGCUCCCUUGUCUGGUGCUGUCAGAGCCCACGAAGGGGCUUUCUCUUUAAGUGUGGAUUCCCUUUUUCCUCCUCUUUUGUUGAGGUAUCUAAAGAUAUUGGGCUUUAACUUACGGCUUGUAUUUGCUGAACAAAACAGGAAAAAAUAUCUGUAGUUUCCUCUGAAGCUGCCAGGAAAGAGAAGUCCAUUAUUUGUAGCUCUAGGGGAGCAGCAGAGGAGGGGUCUUUUUGUCUGCUCUCCAAGACCUGGAGUGGAGGCCAUGGAGGUCUGGGACGGGCAGGUUGGGGCAGCCACAGCUGCAACUGCACCAGAGUUUCUCAGGAAGGCUCUGGCUGGGCAGGGAUCUGUGUGUGGCAUUCCUACCUCACCUGCUGUGAAACAGUGUUCUCAGCUUUGGAUCUCAGUGAAGACAAAAUGAGCUGCCCUUCAGGAAUAUGGAGCUGAGGCUGGCCUGUCCACAGCUGCCCUUGCCCCUGGCAGCACCUCAGGGCAGCUGCUGGCACCUGCAGAACGUAUCCUGCAAAUGUGGCCACAAAAUAGCAAUGCCACAGGUAUAAAAUCCUUAUGAUCAGACGCUCCCCAUUGUGACCCUGAACAAGUUAAUCACAUCGCUCCUCUUGAAGGUUCAUACUGCCACGAUAUAAUUUAUGUGGGCCCUCAAAGAUAGAUGGAGACGUCAGCUAUUGAUCACAAGGAAUUGCUGCCAGUCAGUCUUUUUGUUGGUUUCCAUCCUUGUGAUGUGUUUUAAAAAAUAUUGUAUGAUUCAAAAUUAUACCUGUAAAACCUACAAGUAGAAAAUUACUGUGUGCAUUUAUCUUUAAUAACAACCUUGCGAAUAUUUAUAGUACUAGUAGGGUAGAAUGUGUUAUACUAGUUUAUUUCCCAGUCUGUUUUAAAUGAUAUUAUUCAUUAGUAGUUGUGAAGUGGUAUGACAUAUUUUUUAUGUUGCUUGUUUGUAACAAAGGUUCUUAAUACCUUUUCAUAAUCAAAGGGGAUAAAUGCUAACAUGGAAUAUGGGAAAUUGUGCUUGCAAGAGCACAGUGUUGUCUUAGGGUAUUAAAUUAGCAUUUGGUACUGCUCUGCUUUGUGUGCAUUUCUAGCAAAUGUUUCAGCUACAAAUCACUAUAAUACACCUGUAUUCUGGUUCUUCAAUUCAUAUAGCAUUUAAAUCCUGCCAAUACUGUGUCUUAUAAAUAUAAAUAUGCAAUUUAAUUUAAU